CAGAGUUGCAAAACUCCCACACACCAUCGCGAAUCUUACCCGUACGGUUGCCUCGGCGCUGGCGGUCCGGAAGGCCCUCGGGCCCCCCGGAUCCUCGGGUCUCCCGCUCGCGGGAGGCUGCCCGCCGGAGUGCCGAAACCAAACUCUUGAUAUUUUAUGUCUCUCUGAGUAAACUUUUAAAUAAGUCA
rnacentral:misc_RNA from 1 species